rnacentral:misc_RNA from 3 species
AAUCUCAAUCUAAUAUGUUUUCUGAACAUGUUAGGCUUGGACUUGGGCGUCUGCCAGUGAUGGCUCGCCUCAAAUGACUUAGUGGAACAUCCCACAUCAGUGUUAGACGUAAUAAGUUUCGUCUCUCCUUGUGGUGAUGACUGCUCAGAACCUGCCAUCGCGCAUCUUUUGA